rnacentral:rRNA from 1 species
CAUGUCUUUUUGAGUUUAAUWUAAAGUCUAAUCUGCCCACUGAUAAUUAUUUAAGGGCCGCAGUAUUCUGACUGUGCAAAGGUAGCAUAAUCAUUAGUCUUUUAAUUGAGGGCUUGUAUGAAUGAUUGGACGAGAUAUAAGCUGUCUCAUAAAAAUUUAAAUAGAAUUUUAUUUUUUAGUCAAAAAGCUAAAAUAAAUUUAAAAGACGAGAAGACCCUAUAGAUCUUUAUAAUUUACUUUUAAAUUUUUUUAGGUUAUUUUUUAAAUUUAUAAGUUAAAUUAUUUUGUUGGGGUGACAAUGAAAUUUAAUAAACUUUCAUUAUUUUGAAACAUUAAUUUAUGAUUGAUUGAUCUACUAUUAGUGAUUAAAAAUUUAAGUUACCUUAGGGAUAACAGCGUAAUUAUUUUGGAGAGUUCUUAUCGAUAAAAUAGUUUGCGACCUCGAUGUUGGAUUAAGAUUAAUUCUGGGUGUAGCAGUUCAGUUUAUUAAGUCUGUUCGACUUUUAAUUUCU